rnacentral:rRNA from 1 species
CAUUGAUGAUAAAUUACAACUAUCAUCCGCCUGGGAACUACGAGCACCAGCUUAAAACCCAAAGGACUUGGCGGUGCUUUAGACCCACCUAGAGGAGCCUGUUCUAGAACCGAUAACCCCCGUUCAACCUCACCUUUCCUUGUUCCUCCCGCCUAUAUACCACCGUCGUCAGCUUACCCUGUGAAGGACUAAUAGUAAGCAAAACUGGCAAAGCCCAAAACGUCAGGUCGAGGUGUAGCGUAUGGAAAGGGAAGAAAUGGGCUACAUUCACUAACUCAGUGCACACGAAUGACACCCUGAAACGCGUGUCUGAAGGAGGAUUUAGCAGUAAGCAGAAAAUAGAGUGUUCUACUGAAACUGGCCCUGAAGCGCGC